GCCCCUAUAGCUCAGUGGUAGAGCGCUUCACUGUAAGUUGAUUGGCUGAGAAUCGCCGACUGAAUCAUAAAUAUUGACCUUAAUAGCGUAGUGUACUUGAACGUGCUAUGAAGAGGUCCAUCGUUCGAACCGGUGUGGGGGCA